ACUCCUACGGGAGGCAGCAGUGGGGAAUAUUGGACAAUGGGGGAAACCCUGAUCCAGCCAUGCCGCGUGUGUGAAGAAGGCCUUAGGGUUGUAAAGCACUUUAAGCAGGAAAGAAAAGCGCCGGGUUAAUACCCCGAGCGUAUUGACGGUACCUGCAGAAUAAGCACCGGCUAACUCC
rnacentral:rRNA from 1 species